GGAAGGCAGGGCCAACCCAGGGGAGCUCAGGUGCAUGCAGUGCACCUGAGUGACCAGAAGGGGGUGGAACCAGGAUCCACCCCUUCCCAGACCUCAUUUAAGGGUUGGCAGUGGAGGUGAGAGUAUCUCUCUGGUGAUCCCUGCCUACUUGGGGUGUUCUAAGGAAGCAGUGUGCCGUGGUGAGACCAUUUAUACCAUCCUGCCCCAUAAAGAUGCAGUGCUGCCAUAACUGUGAGCUUUCUGUACUUUGCAAAGGAAAAGCCAACAGCAAAAGUUGGGGAUCUGCCUUGCAAUAGCUUUCAUGCUCAUGAAGGAAAUUGAAUUUAAACUUCUGUGAAUGACUUCCCCAAAGGUAGAGUGAAGAAAAAACAUGAACCUGUGUAUGACUGCCCGCUUCCUUGUCCACAUGCCUGGCAUACACCUGUCACAGCAGAGAAUAAUUCUGGCAUUCUACUUUCUCACCCAUUAAAGAGUGGGUGAAAUCUGGGGUUGCAGUUAAUUAAAAAAAAUUUUGCAGAACAGCUUUUCUGACACAGUGCUGAUUGAACAAAGUUGGAAGGUUUCACAAGGAGUGUGUGUAUAUAUAUGUAUAUCUAAUACAGUCUCACAAUAAGUUAUUAAAAUGUUUGGUUUUCAAGGGUCAAUAUAUUCUGUGUUUGAUAUAAUAUACAAACUGAAAUAAUGAAGCAGAAGUAAAUAUUUUUAUCUUUUAAGAAAAAAAUGAGAAGACAUUUUAAAAAUAUUGGCUUUUUCUCCUUAUUUUCUAUUCUCUGACUACCCAGGCUUUCUUCAAGCCUUGUCAGUGCAGCUUCAACAAGCUCUGUUGGUGGCACCAUCCAAUUCUCUAACUUCUAGAGAAGUUUCUGUGUCUUUCUGAGAGUAAGAGGAAGAUAACAACUUGUAGGAAUUUAUCAGUAAAUGUAUAUAUAUUCAUACAUAUGUACACUUUCACAUGCUAUGUCAUGAUGUUUAUUGCUACCUCUACUCCUGCAAUGAUUAUUCUAAUUCAAUUUGUAAAGCUUAUUUUGUUAACAUAUUAUUUCCACCCAUGAGUAUGUACCUUCUCAGGAAAUUGUGUCUUUCUUAUCCAUGAGCUCUUUCCAUGUUUAAAUUUUAAAGUCUCUUCAAGUUGUUAAAUGUGUGAUACUAAUACUAUUUUGCACACAACGUUGCAAAUCAACCUUUCCAGAACAUUAAAAUGCACUAAAACUUGACAAGUCUUCAAUCACAACUUGGCCCCAGCUUGCAAGACUUGAGUGACUAUAUAGAAAAUUCUCAAUUUAUAAAACUUUAUUCCAACCAAAUUAUAUUUUACUAUACAAAAAGACUUGAAAACACAGUUAAGAGAAAAAUGAAAUAGAUUAUAUUAAUUGGUUUUGACAAAAGCACCCAAGUAAAUUGAAUUUAUUGCAAUUGUUGAUGCUAAGAAAAGUACUUUUACUGUGACAAUUUCUUUAAUGUUUCCUUGGAAUCCACUUGCAGAAUAUAGUGACUGCAGACAUGCUUUUAUGGAUGGUUUAAUCCAAGUCAUUGCUAUGAGGGUUGCUCCGAAAGUAAUGCCUCCUAUGUUAUUAUGUUUGCUCAGGACAUCAAAGGCAGGUGUUAGUGGUAUAGCAGUAGAGGGUGAAUCUUCCCACCAAUAUUCUGUUACUUUUUGUUGCUAUGUGACAGAUGGCAGCAGAGGGGCAGUCUGACACAAUGGCGUCUGAUAUGGAAGUGCAUAUGAAGCAAAGGUGUGGAAUUUGAUUCCUCUGUGUGGAAGAAUGGCACUGUAGGGGAACUGAUAGGUCACAGCUUGAACUGGUGAAGGGUUGUGGCUGGCCUAGGGAGCUCAGGCAAAUUUUUUGCACCUGUGCUCCUUACGUGACCAGAAGGGGUGGACCCAGGGUGGAACUUCCCUGGAAUCACAGAAGGGCCAGCCACUAAAGGGAGGGCAUCUGUUGUGUUGGGGCUGUUUCCUAUGAAAUAGGGCCAUGUAGCCAGAGAGCCCUUUCACCAGUUGGGACACUGAAGAACAUCACAGAGAUAUGUCUUGCUCCCCUGUCCAUCAGCUGCACUUAUUUUGGCCUUUGAAGAAGACUGGGCUCCUUGCUUUUAGAAGUUUUUCAAGUUGAGUAGUUUCUUCUAGCCCUUCUUCUGAGGGCUUGCAUCCUUGCAUUGUACGAGGUUAAACAGCAAUCCUGUGAUUCCAAAAAUGAGCAAGCCAAAAUAUUAACUGGGCUGAUCUCUUUGAAUGUCCCCACAAGAGCAGAGGGCCAUCUCGCGUGUCCAUGGAAAGACAGCACAAUGGGUGUUCAUGUAUCUAUUGAAUGGACAGUCAAAAACUUAAGUACAUGGGCCAUGUUUUGUUUUGGGAGACUGUCUAUUGGUUGUCUUACGAUCAUGCCAAGAUGACAGUAGUUUUUUGCCUACUGAAUAAAGGUCUUUCUCUAGUUUUAUUCUACUUUUUUGUUUUGUUUUUUGGUUGAUUCAGAUGCCGUUUGCAGGAAUGGUAAACAGAUCAUGUAGUAAACUUUUCAGAUUUGU